rnacentral:rRNA from 1 species
GCCGGCAGCCAUAUCACUCUGCAGCUCCCAGCUGGCAGCCCACUGAAGCUCAGCAGGUGUGAGCCUGGUCAGUACCUGGAUGGGAGACCUCCUGGGAAAAACUAAGAUUGCUGCUGGAA